GAACCUGCGGAAGGAUCAUUAUCGAUUUUAGCGAACCUGGCUAUAUGGCCAUGGUCUCGCGAAAUUUUGUAUUUAAAACCCCACUCUUUAUAAUUAAAAAAUGUAUUAUAUAACAUGAUAAAAUUUAAGAUCACUUUCAACAACGGAUCU
rnacentral:rRNA from 1 species